CUCCACUGUAGUGGGCUGAAAGCGAGAGCCUUUCUGAUACAGUGGGAUAACCUGAAGGGAAGGAGAAUCUCGUUGAAACGGCCUUGCUGGACCGUUCAUGGAAGACAAAAUGCCGUGCUAACCGCAGGGCAGUGCAGUAACACGACAGCACCCUGUUCUGGAGGAGAUCAAGGCUCGGGGUGCGCAGGGUUUGCCAGUAAUGAGCUGCCAGAGAGACCACGGAAUGGCAAUUGCAGCUCCUCUGGUUUGCGGGAAGCCAAUUUCUCAAGUUCCUGUGUUGGGAGGAGCCAGAAGAGGAAAAAAAGUAUUUGUGCAUGAUUCUGCGUGGAAUGUAUUUCUUGUGUAUCAAAACCAGAUAUCUAUCAGAAUUACAGCCUCUGG